CCUACGGGAGGCUGCAGUGAGGAAUAUUGGUCAAUGGCCGCAGGGCUGAACCAGCCAAGUCGCGUGAGGGAUGACGGUCCUAUGGAUUGUAAACCUCUUUUGUCAGGGAGCAAAGGGCGCCACGUGUGGCGCUUUGCGAGUACCUGACGAAAAAGCAUCGGCUAACUCCGUGCCAGCAGCCGCGGUAAUACGGAGGAUGCGAGCGUUAUCCGGAUUUAUUGGGUUUAAAGGGUGCGCAGGCGGAAUGUCAAGUCAGUGGUAAAAUUUCGGGGCUCAACCCCGUCGUGCCGUUGAAACUGGCGUUCUUGAGUGAGCGAGAAGUAUGCGGAAUGCGUGGUGUAGCGGUGAAAUGCAUAGAUAUCACGCAGAACUCCGAUUGCGAAGGCAGCAUACCGGCGCUCAACUGACGCUCAUGCACGAAAGCGUGGGUAUCGAACAGGAUUAGAUACCCUGGUAGUC
rnacentral:rRNA from 1 species